CGCGUAGGCGGUCUUUGAAGUCAGAUGUGAAAGCCCGGGGCUUAACCCCGGAAGUGCAUUUGAAACUCAGGGACUUGAGUAUGGGAGAGGGAAGUGGAAUUCCUGGUGUAGCGGUGAAAUGCGUAGAUAUCAGGAGGAACACCAGUGGCGAAGGCGACUUCCUGGACCAAUACUGACGCUGAGGCGCGAAGGCGUGGGGAGCAAACA
rnacentral:rRNA from 1 species